ensembl:lncRNA
AUGUGUAAACUGCAUGCAGGAUCUUUCUCUCUUGUUUUUGAGUCUCUCAGGCUCCCUGUAAAAAGAACUAAUCUCUGUCUUCUCCAUUUUCAGGUGUUUGAAAACUGUUGUGGAAUUUACUGGAGUAGAAUAAAUGGCUACUUGGAUGCCCAAAUGGGACAGCUGUUACCUGGGAGCUCCUCAUUGGCUGGUUACUUUGAUGUCACCAGGAACUGGGGCUUGGGGAGUGAAACCCUUACCGACUGGCCAGACUGCCUGUGGCCUAUGAGCAGAAGGUCUUAGAGGUGAGAUUGUAAACAGCCUGGGUGGGGGAAGGGGCACAGACCUAUUUGUUUUCCCUGAUUUCAGGGUGACUUUGGAAGGUCUCCACUGUGGCACACUACAACCCUCUAGCAGCGCGGCUGAGGUGUAGAACACUUCUGGGAGGGAGGGAGGAAGGAGUGCUGUCCUUCACAUUUUCCUGCCUGUAGCCAACACCCAUGUGGGCUCUAGAACCCAGCUAACUGUACCUCUCCUCAAAAUCAGGAGGGAGAGUAGGUCCUGCUAGUGUUAGGGUUCUUCAUUUUAUAGACGCUAAGGAGUCGAGCUGAGACAGAAUUCAGGUUUUGAUUUGAAGUCUAGUGUUCUUUCCACAAGAUCAGAGCUGCUCUUUUGGCUGUUAUGGGGAGCUGCAGUAGUAGCCUGUAAUAUGGAAAAGAGAUUGUGGUGUUCCUGAUCUCAGUGCUGAUUUCAGUCAUGGCUAGAGUACUCUGGUGUGGCCCACGAGCAUUCAGGCUUUCCACACUGAGUGUAGUUUUCCAAGUACUCCCAUGUUCAUAACAUCCAGCUCCUCCAUCCCAACUCUCGUUGUUAGAGGGAUUCAUAAACUAUGGUAAAAAGAGAGGGUAUGCCUGUGUGUAUUUCUGCUCUAUACAAAGCAAGUCAGCUAGCUAGUGGCAUACUAGAUAGAGAGUGAGACUUCGAGUAAGGAAAAUCAGAGUUUAAAUCUAGCCUCAGACAUGAGCUGUAUGACCCUGGACAAGUCACCUAACCUUCCUCUGCCAUCAUCUCCCUCACAGGGUUUUGUGAGGAUCAAAUGUAACAGGUAAAGUGCUAUGUAAAUACUAGCUAUUGUUAUUGAAGUUCACAGUUCCAUCAGCUCAAGAGUUCUGAACUGUUAUCUCCCUGCCUGCUCUGGAACUCUGUAUUUCCAGUUGGAAAUUGGCAUUUCCAAAUCCCAAGUCUUCAUAGGAAACAGGAAGCCACAUAAACAUUCCCACCUCAUUUUAUAUAGACUUAAGAU